GCGGUUGAAUAAUAACAGCCUUACAGGACCGUGUCCUCAGUCUUUAAGCAACAUAGAAGGUUUAACACUUGUAGACCUCUCCUACAAUAAUCUGAGAGGUUCCUUGCCAAGAAUACCAGCAAAAACAUUAAAGAUUGUCGGAAAUCCAUUAAUUUGUGGUCCGAAAUCCAACAACUGUUCUACUUUACCAAAGCCAGUUUCCUUCCCUCUAGAUGC